rnacentral:rRNA from 1 species
GAUGAACGCUGGCGGCGUGCCUAAUACAUGCAAGUCGAGCGAACGGACGAGAAGCUUGCUUCUCUGAUGUUAGCGGCGGACGGGUGAGUAACACGUGGAUAACCUACCUAUAAGACUGGGAUAACUUCGGGAAACCGGAGCUAAUACCGGAUAAUAUUUUGAACCGCAUGGUUCAAAAGUGAAAGACGGUCUUGCUGUCACUUAUAGAUGGAUCCGCGCUGCAUUAGCUAGUUGGUAAGGUAACGGCUUACCAAGGCAACGAUGCAUAGCCGACCUGAGAGAGUGAUCGGCCACACGGGAACUGAGACACGGUCCAGACUCCUACGGGAGGCAGCAGUAGGGAAUCUUCCGCAAUGGGCGAAAGCCUGACGGAGCAACGCCGCGUGAGUGAUGAAGGUCUUCGGAUCGUAAAACUCUGUUAUUAGGGAAGAACAUAUGUGUAAGUAACUGUGCACAUCUUGACGGUACCUAAUCAGAAAGCCACGGCUAACUACGUG